AUGGGGAAACCCAGUGUGAUUCGUCACACUAUCAUUAACUGAAUCCAUAGGUUAAUGAGGCGAACCGGGGGAACUGAAACAUCUAAGUACCCCGAGGAAAAGAAAUCAACCGAGAUUCCCCCAGUAGCGGCGAGCGAACGGGGAGCAGCCCAGAGUCUGAAUCAGUGUGUGUGUUAGUGGAAGCGUCUGGAAAGGCGCGCGAUACAGGGUGACAGCCCCGUACACAAAAAUGCACAUGCUGUGAGCUCGAUGAGUAGGGCGGGACACGUGGUAUCCUGUCUGAAUAUGGGGGGACCAUCCUCCAAGGCUAAAUACUCCUGACUGACCGAUAGUGAACCAGUACCGUGAGGGAAAGGCGAAAAGAACCCCGGCGAGGGGAGUGAAAAAGAACCUGAAACCGUGUACGUACAAGCAGUGGGAGCACGCUUAGGCGUGUGACUGCGUACCUUUUGUAUAAUGGGUCAGCGACUUAUAUUCUGUAGCAAGGUUAACCGAAUAGGGGAGCCGAAGGGAAACCGAGUCUUAACUGGGCGUUAAGUUGCAGGGUAUAGACCCGAAACCCGGUGAUCUAGCCAUGGGCAGGUUGAAGGUUGGGUAACACUAACUGGAGGACCGAACCGACUAAUGUUGAAAAAUUAGCGGAUGACUUGUGGCUGGGGGUGAAAGGCCAAUCAAACCGGGAGAUAGCUGGUUCUCCCCGAAAGCUAUUUAGGUAGCGCCUCGUGAAUUCAUCUCCGGGGGUAGAGCACUGUUUCGGCAAGGGGGUCAUCCCGACUUACCAACCCGAUGCAAACUGCGAAUACCGGAGAAUGUUAUCACGGGAGACACACGGCGGGUGCUAACGUCCGUCGUGAAGAGGGAAACAACCCAGACCGCCAGCUAAGGUCCCAAAGUCAUGGUUAAGUGGGAAACGAUGUGGGAAGGCCCAGACAGCCAGGAUGUUGGCUUAGAAGCAGCCAUCAUUUAAAGAAAGCGUAAUAGCUCACUGGUCGAGUCGGCCUGCGCGGAAGAUGUAACGGGGCUAAACCAUGCACCGAAGCUGCGGCAGCGACACUGUGUGUUGUUGGGUAGGGGAGCGUUCUGUAAGCCUGUGAAGGUGUACUGUGAGG
rnacentral:rRNA from 1 species